rnacentral:rRNA from 1 species
AGAGUUUGAUCCUGGCUCAGAUUGAACGCUGGCGGCAUGCCUUACACAUGCAAGUCGAACGGUAACAGCACUUCGGUGGCUGACGAGUGGCGAACGGGUGAGUAAUACAUCGGAACGUGCCCGAGAGUGGGGGAUAACGCAGCGAAAGCUGUGCUAAUACCGCAUACGAUCUACGGAUGAAAGCAGGGGACCGCAAGGCCUUGCGCUCAUGGAGCGGCCGAUGGCAGAUUAGGUAGUUGGUGGGAUAAAAGCUUACCAAGCCGACGAUCUGUAGCUGGUCUGAGAGGACGACCAGCCACACUGGGACUGAGACACGGCCCAGACUCCUACGGGAGGCAGCAGUGGGGAAUUUUGGACAAUGGGCGAAAGCCUGAUCCAGCCAUGCCGCGUGCAGGAUGAAGGCCUUCGGGUUGUAAACUGCUUU